rnacentral:rRNA from 1 species
GAUGAACGCUGGCGGCGUGCUUAACACAUGCAAGUCGAACGAAGCGAUUGUGAUUGAGAUUUCGGUUGAUUGAUCAAUUGACUUAGUGGCGGACGGGUGAGUAACGCGUGGGUAACCUGCCUCGUACAGGGGGAUAACAGUUAGAAAUGACUGCUAAUACCGCAUAACCCGCUAAGGUCGCAUGACCUAGACGGAAAAGAUUUAUCGGUACGAGAUGGACCCGCGUCUGAUUAGCUAGUUGGUGAGGUAACGGCCCACCAAGGCGACGAUCAGUAGCCGGCCUGAGAGGGUGACCGGCCACAUUGGGACUGAGACACGGCCCAA